rnacentral:rRNA from 1 species
UACGUAGGGACCGAGCGUUGUCCGGAAUCAUUGGGCGUAAAGAGCGUGUAGGCGGCCACUUAAGUCCUGCGUGAAAUCUUGCGGCUCAACCGCAAGCGGUCGUGGGAAACUGGGUGGCUAGAGUGCGGGAGAGGAGAGUGGAAUUCCUGGUGUAGCGGUGGAAUGCGCAGAUAUCAGGAAGAACACCCGUGGCGAAGGCGGCUCUCUGGAACGGUACUGACGCUGAGACGCGAAAGCGUGGGGAGCGAACAGG